CUGGAAGUGAUGGAUAGCGUGACAUUUGAUUGUGCAGUGAUGUUCAAUGUAUUCAUACUGUCUGAUCCAG